CAUUUAUUAGAACAAAACCAAUUGGCUUCGGCCAUCAAUUGGUGAAUCUGAAUAACUACGCUGAUCGCAUGGUCUCGCACCGGCGACAUAUCCUUCAAGUGUCUGCCUUAUCAACUGUCGAUGGUAGUUUAUAUGACUACCAUGGUUGUAACGGGUAACGGAGAAUAAGGGUUCGACUCCGGAGAGGGAGCCUGAGAAACGGCUACCACAUCCAAGGAAGGCAGCAGGCGCGCAAAUUACCCACUCUCAGAACGAGGAGGUAGUGACGAAAAAUAACGAGACAGUUCUCUACGAGGUCUGUCAUCGGAAUGGGUACAAUUUAAACCCUUUAACGAGGAUCUAUUGGAGGGCAAGUCUGGUGCCAGCAGCCGCGGUAAUUCCAGCUCCAAUAGCGUAUAUUAAAGUUGUUGCGGUUAAAAAGCUCGUAGUUGGAUCUGCGCUCACAGACACUGGUUUCCUUUCUUGGAAUACUGGCUGUCUUGAGCUACCUUGCUGGUUGUCUCUUGGUGCUCUUUACUGAGUGCCUUGAGUGGCUAGCACGUUUACUUUGAAAAAAUUAGAGUGCUUAACGCAGGC
rnacentral:rRNA from 1 species